AUGAACGCUGGCGGCGUGCCUAAUCCAUGCAAGUCGAGCGAACAGACGAGGAGCUUGCUCCUCUGAUGUUAGCGGCGGACGGGUGAGUAACACGUGGAUAACCUACCUAUAAGACUGGGAUAACUUCGGGAAACCGGAGCUAAUACCGGAUAACAUGUUGAACCGCAUGGUUCAACAGUGAAAGACGGUCUUGCUGUCACUUAUAGAUGGAUCCGCGCCGCAUUAGCUAGUUGGUAAGGUAACGGCUUACCAAGGCAACGAUGCGUAGCCGACCUGAGAGGGUGAUCGGCCACACUGGAACUGAGACACGGUCCAGACUCCUACGGGAGGCAGCAGUAGGGAAUCUUCCGCAAUGGGCGAAAGCCUGACGGAGCAACGCCGCGUGAGUGAAGAAGGUCUUCGGAUCGUAAAACUCUGUUAUUAGGGAAGAACAAAUGUGUAAGUAGCUAUGCACGUCUUGACGGUACCUAAUCAGAAAGCCACGGCUAACUACGUG
rnacentral:rRNA from 1 species